CCUCCUCACAGACUCUGAAGGACCAGCCUCGUGAUCAGAUAUGAACUGAAUAUCUGGAGAUGCUCUGUGAUCACGAAGAGGUGAAGAUGGUCCCUCCUCCUCUGCUCUAUCCUCCGCUCUCUCCUCAACAUCCUUUGUCCAACCGCCAUCAGUCUUAGAGAAACUCAUGCGAUGCAGUGUGUGGCGGUUGAUGGUGUCGGAAUGAGAUAGUCUAGCAACU
rnacentral:lncRNA from 1 species